GCCCGGCUAGCUCAAUCGGUAGAGUGUGAGAACUCUUACCACAGACGAUACUCCCAGGGUCUGUCCAAAUCAGUCCAUCUCAAGGUUGUGGGUUCGACCCCCACGUCUAGCU